GAUGAAGAACGCAGUGAAAUGCGAUAAGUAGUGUGAAUUGCAGAAUUCAGUGAAUCAUCGAAUCUUUGAACGCACAUUGCGCCCGCCAGUAUUCUGGCGGGCAUGCCUGUUCGAGCGUCAUUACAACCCUCAGGCCCCCGGGCCUGGCGUUGGGGAUCGGCGGAGCCCCCCGUGGGCACACGCCGUCCCCCAAAUACAGUGGCGGUCCCGCCGCAGCUUCCAUCGCGUAGUAGCUAACACCUCGCGACUGGAGAGCGGCGCGGCCACGCCGUAAAACACCCAACUCUUCUGAAGUUGACCUCGAAUCAGGUAGGAAUACCCGCUGAACUUAAGCAUAUCAAUAAGCGGAGGA
rnacentral:misc_RNA from 1 species